GACGAACGCUGGCGGCGUGCUUAACACAUGCAAGUCGAACGGAAAGGCCCUGCUUUUGUGGGGUGCUCGAGUGGCGAACGGGUGAGUAACACGUGAGUAACCUGCCCUUGACUUUGGGAUAACUUCAGGAAACUGGGGCUAAUACCGGAUAGGAGCUCCUGCUGCAUGGUGGGGGUUGGAAAGUUUCGGCGGUUGGGGAUGGACUCGCGGCUUAUCAGCUUGUUGGUGGGGUAGUGGCUUACCAAGGCUUUGACGGGUAGCCGGCCUGAGAGGGUGACCGGCCACAUUGGGACUGAGAUACGGCCCAGACUCCUACGGGAGGCAGCAGUGGGGAAUAUUGCACAAUGGGCGGAAGCCUGAUGCAGCAACGCCGCGUGCGGGAUGACGGCCUUCGGGUUGUAAACCGCUUUCGCCUGUGACGAAGCGUGAGUGACGGUAAUGGGUAAAGAAGCACCGGCUAACUACGUGCCAGCAGCCGCGGUGAUACGUAGGGUGCGAGCGUUGUCCGGAUUUAUUGGGCGUAAAGGGCUCGUAGGUGGUUGAUCGCGUCGGAAGUGUAAUCUUGGGGCUUAACCCUGAGCGUGCUUUCGAUACGGGUUGACUUGAGGAAGGUAGGGGAGAAUGGAAUUCCUGGUGGAGCGGUGGAAUGCGCAGAUAUCAGGAGGAACACCAGUGGCGAAGGCGGUUCUCUGGGCCUUUCCUGACGCUGAGGAGCGAAAGCGUGGGGAGCGAACAGGCUUAGAUACCCUGGUAGUCCACGCUGUAAACGGUGGGUACUAGGUGUGGGGUCCAUUCCACGGGUUCCGUGCCGUAGCUAACGCUUUAAGUACCCCGCCUGGGGAGUACGGCCGCAAGGCUAAAGCUCAAAGGAAUUGACGGGGCCCCGCACAAGCGGCGGAGCAUGCGGAUUAAUUCGAUGCAACGCGUAGAACCUUACCUGGGUUUGACAUGGAUCGGGAGCGCUCAGAGAUGGGUGUGCCUCUUUUGGGGUCGGUUCACAGGUGGUGCAUGGCUGUCGUCAGCUCGUGUCGUGAGAUGUUGGGUUAAGUCCCGCAACGAGCGCAACCCUUGUUCACUGUUGCCAGCACGUUAUGGUGGGGACUCAGUGGAGACCGCCGGGGUCAACUCGGAGGAAGGUGGGGAUGACGUCAAGUCAUCAUGCCCCUUAUGUCCAGGGCUUCACGCAUGCUACAAUGGCUGGUACAGAGAGUGGCGAGCCUGUGAGGGUGAGCGAAUCUCGGAAAGCCGGUCUCAGUUCGGAUUGGGGUCUGCAACUCGACCUCAUGAAGUCGGAGUCGCUAGUAAUCGCAAAUCAGCAACGCCUGCGGUGAAUACGUUCCCGGGGCU
rnacentral:rRNA from 1 species